AUAUAUAUAUUCCUUGUAUACAAUUUUGAAGGCGGUGGCAAAAGAUGAUAGUACAACUGUCUAAUUUACAGCUUGGCAAGUGAUUUUUACAUGGCACGAGGCAGACUGGUAGAGACGACAAGUGAUUUUAAAUGGCACAAGUUGUUGAGGCAGAGGCUUGCAACGGAAUGGUGUUGUACCUCUAAGACUAAAUCUAUGACAGUUUAUCCAUCUCUAUACCUAUAUAUUCAAACUUCACUUUUCUAACAAUAUAAUCUACAACACAUAACAGUACAUACCGUGUAAAAUAAUUCUUUUGGAUAAACUAUGGGUACGGACGAUCUAACAGUAGAGUCAGAUCGUGCAAGGGUUGUCGAGACGUUGCAAAUCGAAUGAGGACAAGUCUAAGCUCAUGUUCACCCUCGUCCAAACAGAGGAGUAUUUGUAGCCUUCAGUUGGUUGGAGGGUUCAGCUGAUAAAAACAAAGCAAAAUUCAGCAGCAAAUGAAUUAGCACAAUUAGAUGCAAUGCUCGAUUAUGAAUAUAAUUAUGCCAAAUUAAUAAUGAUCUAUUUACCACAAAAAAACUGGAAAAGAAGUAGAAUCCUAUGUCUAUGUUUCUUCUAAGUUUUUCAUAUUAUCCAAUGUUGGAAAAGAAGCAGAAUUCAAAUUUGUAUGCUCCUUCUAGCUUUCUCCUGUUGUCCAAUAUUGUCCAAAGAAAGUUUCACAUGUCGUCCAAUGUUGUCUCAGGUCCAUGUGCCAUCCAUGUAAAGAUUGUCCACAACAAAUCAUGUAAAAUAAGAGAUUUAUACUAUAGAUUAUACUGAUUGCAGAGUAAAAUUUGACAUAUAGAAUGAAAUGAGAUAGUUGUUGAAGAUAGCUAAGGCCUAAUAUGCAGUUCUUAUUAUGUACACUAGAUCAUGUAAAAUAAGAGAUUUAUUAUUUAUACUAUGGAUUAUACUGAUUGCAGAGUAAAGUUUAAAAUAUAGAAUAAAAUAAGGUAGUUGUUGAAGGCAGUCUAAGGCCUAAUGUGCAGUUCUUAUUAUGUACACUCUAAGGGCAUGUUUGAUUCCAUAAUGCUAAAGUUUAGCACUACAUCUUUAGUAAACUUUAGCUCUUGUAAAUCCAAACAUGAGUGCUAAAAUAUACUAGAAGAUAUUAAAAGUAAAAUGCUAAAGUUUAACAUACAUUAGCACUUUAUCUCUUUAAGUGAUGCUAAAGUUUAGCACAAUGAAACUAAACAUGCCCUAGUACUGUCUAUCAAAAAAUUAAACUACAUUAUUUAUGUUAAUUAUGAUCCUAUCUUGGCUCUCUAAAAACUAUAGGAUUUUUAUUAAUUAUGAUCCUACUUAGGUUCAAGAAAGAUAGUAAUUACUAAUUAGCUACUCAUAAUUAUUUUCUUGAAUCCAAAUACAUGUUGCUAAUAGUUUAACUGAUUGUUAGCAAUAUUUUUCUAGUAGCUAAUAAUAGUACUAUUUUACUAGUCGAGUGAAAUUUGUUAAGGACUAGUUUGGGAACCUCAUUUAUCCAAGUCCUCUUGAAAAAUAGAAAUUCCUUAAGAAAAUGAAGUUCCUAAACUAGUCCUAAUAGGGGUAAUAGUAGUUACAUAGUAGUUAUGACAUAUUAGCUAGUAGUUAACUAUUAGUAGUAGCCAUGAUCUAAGAGCCUGUUUAGGUGCUAAAACAAACAUUAAUAAAGUUCAAUCACAUUCCAAGCUAGUUAAAAGUGACUAAAAUAAUAAAAAUAUGUCAUUUUAGUCACUUUGGCUGAACUUGUUUGGAUCCAAAGAGCCUCCAAGUAUCUUAACUUUAAGUAGAUUUACUAUAAACAAAAAUAUUAUUAUAAUAAUUAUACUUAAUAUCAUAAAUGUUAGUAAAUUUUUUAUAAUUUUACUCUAAAUGAAGUCAUUCUUAAUAGGAGUUUCAUAAGAGUUUUAUUUUUAUUAAUAAUACGUCACGUAAACAAAUAAGAUAACACAAUAUACAAUUUAAUAAAGAAAAAUACGAGAUUUAGUGUUUUUUGAGAUGGUAGCUUUGGAAACAGUGUUUUCCUCUUCCCAUUGAGAACGCCCUUUCGCACGGAACAUGUCAGUACGACUUUGGACAAAAUUCAAAUUAUCACCACUUCUAGAAAACGUGAAUGCCAUCUUUUUUUUUUGUUUUCUACAUAUAUCACUUCUAUAAAGGAGAUUGCUGAUAAUUCGGUAUGAAUUAUAAAUUAUAGAACUCCUAGGCCCUACAACAUUUUUUUACUAGAGAAAUUUUAUUAUCAAAAAAUAAAAAUAAACUGGAUUAUAUGAAAUUCUUGCAUUUUUCUGACAAAAGAUUCAGUGUAAAUUCCCGUGGAUCAUAAAAAUCUAGGAAGAAAUUCUUACUUGUAAAAUAAAGAGUCUAGGCAAAAAUGAGAAGCCACUUCGAUGAAAGAGACGUGAACUAAGCAAAAACAAAAACAAAAACUCUCUGUUCUCUAAACUGCAAAUUCUAAGACGUUGAGUAUAUGUACAAAUUCUUACAUGUUUGGUUUGCUACCGACCAGACCUAGUCAAAUAUCAGAGAUCCCACACGUUCGAUUUUGAUCGCCGCCGGGCUGAGUGCAGGCCUCGUAUCAAAACUAAGGUCCUGUUUAACUAAGAUGCUGUUUGAAAGUCUAGUGAUAUAUUUGGAACCACCUCAAUUUUCAAAAAACAGUUUCUUAUAAACUGAUCCAAACAGGCCCUAACCGGCUAAGCCUAUAUACAAAAAUAAAACAUCCUAAAGCAAUGGUAAGUUCUUUGGUGAGCAAUAAGUUCCGACUACUAAAGAAUCUUGGUGGAUUUGAACCACCAUCCAUCCGGGACAGCACGCCUAGGCUAGCAGUCAAACGGAUGACCUCACCGUGUUGAGGAAAGAUCCACACCUCAACGAGCAGACGCAGCUACAUUUAAAUAACCAUAAAAUACCUUUAAAAAGUACACAUAUAUCAAUUGAAUAUUCGUGUUCACAACCAAACCUUCUGUGAAUAGAC
rnacentral:lncRNA from 1 species